rnacentral:rRNA from 1 species
CGCGUAGGCGGUUUUAUAAGUCAGAUGUGAAAGGUACCGGCUCAACCGGUGACGUGCAUUUGAAACUGUAAGACUUGAGUACUGAAGAGGCAAGCGGAAUUCCUAGUGUAGCGGUGAAAUGCGUAGAUAUUAGGAAGAACACCGGUGGCGAAGGCGGCUUGCUGGGCAGAUACUGACGCUGAGGUGCGAAAGCGUGGGGAGCGAACA